GUGAAUAAGUUCGUACGAUCGCUAAUACUAAAAUGGGAAGGAUGCACAAAAUAUUAGCAUGACCCCUGCGGAUGGAUGACAUGCAAAAUCGCGAAACGUUGCACAUUUUC
rfam:Glossina pallidipes unplaced genomic scaffold Scaffold0, whole genome shotgun sequence.